GAGUCACUCUUGCAACCCAAAGCGGUGGACUGCAGGUGGACAAGAGUGUUCAAAAGGAACAUCAAGGUGCUGUGACCAGAAAGGAGAACAAGGCUGGGUGUGCCCACCUGAGUGAUGCCCACAGUUGUCUGUCCCCGGGGAGGACGUGGAGAGGCACAGACAAGAAGAGAUUGGUCCAGACUCUUUUGACUACACCAGUCGGUCUCUAGUCACGUAAGAAGUUCUUAGGAUCACAGGCCGAGGAAUGUAGCAGCCUCUGGAAGCUGGACAAAGCAAGGAGCUAUAUUCUCUUCUAGAACCUUCAAUAGUACAGUUCUGCUGACCCAUUUUGGAUUUCUAACCUCCAGAACUGGUCAUAGUAGAGGGAGCAGUCUGAGUGACCACAUGGGGACAUGUCAACAUCCACGCUUCCUUAGUUUCUGAGCUUUCAGAAGUGACCAGGUUUGUUUGCUGACCCAUCACUCCUUCCCAGGAUGCACUGCAAGAGAAACAAAAGAAAGGUCCUGUGAAGUGUCAAGUUGCGACUUGCUCUUCGCCCAGAGAGAACCUUCUUCACCAACAAUUACCACAUCAUCGUAAACACUCGGGAGAGACAUGAUGUAAAAAUGAAAUUACUGAAAACAUUUUUGGACUAACACUUGGCUUUAUAUAAACUCACAGACAAUCCUAUAAGGCACUCAAGCAGAUUAUGGGUUUGAGCAAAGCUGGAAAAUUGCUGCCAUUAUAUUGUUAUUAUUAACACCUUGUAAUUAGCCCUAAGGAAUCCCAAAGUUCUCUUUCUUGAUUUGGCUUUAAUGAAGGAAAAUUGCUACCUUUGCAAGUUGGAUGGCGCCCGUUCUGAUUAACCUUAAGUAUAUAGGACUAUUAUUUUGAAAAUGUUUGCUGUCAUGUGAAUAUUAGCAUUACA